GACGAACUUUGGCGGCGUGCUUAACACAUGCAAGUCGAACGGAAAGGCCCUGCUUUUGUGGGGUGCUCGAGUGGCGAACGGGUGAGUAACACGUGAGUAACCUGCCCUUGACUUUGGGAUAACUUCAGGAAACUGGGGCUAAUACUGGAUAGGAGCUCCUGCUGCAUGGUGGGGGUUGGAAAGUUUCGGCGGUUGGGGAUGGACUCGCGGCUUAUCAGCUUGUUGGUGGGGUAGUGGCUUACCAAGGCUUUGACGGGUAGCCGGCCUGAGAGGGUGACCGGCCACAUUGGGACUGAGAUACGGCCCAGACUCCUACGGGAGGCAGCAGUGGGGAAUAUUGCACAAUGGGCGGAAGCCUGAUGCAGCAACGCCGCGUGCGGGAUGACGGCCUUCGGGUUGUAAACCGCUUUCGCCUGUGACGAAGCGUGAGUGACGGUAAUGGGUAAAGAAGCACCGGCUAACUACGUGCCAGCAGCCGCGGUGAUACGUAGGGUGCGAGCGUUGUCCGGAUUUAUUGGGCGUAAAGGGCUCGUAGGUGGUUGAUCGCGUCGGAAGUGUAAUCUUGGGGCUUAACCCUGAGCGUGCUUUCGAUACGGGUUGACUUGAGGAAGGUAGGGGAGAAUGGAAUUCCUGGUGGAGCGGUGGAAUGCGCAGAUAUCAGGAGGAACACCAGUGGCGAAGGCGGUUCUCUGGGCCUUUCCUGACGCUGAGGAGCGAAAGCGUGGGGAGCGAACAGGCUUAGAUACCCUGGUAGUCCACGCUGUAAACGGUGGGUACUAGGUGUGGGGUCCAUUCCACGGGUUCCGUGCCGUAGCUAACGCUUUAAGUACCCCGCCUGGGGAGUACGGCCGCAAGGCUAAAACUCAAAGGAAUUGACGGGGCCCCGCACAAGCGGCGGAGCAUGCGGAUUAAUUCGAUGCAACGCGUAGAACCUUACCUGGGUUUGACAUGGAUCGGGAGUGCUCAGAGAUGGGUGUGCCUCUUUUGGGGUCGGUUCACAGGUGGUGCAUGCCUGUCGUCAGCUCGUGUCGUGAGAUGUUGGGUUAAGUCCCGCAACGAGCGCAACCCUUGUUCACUGUUGCCAGCACGUUAUGGUGGGGACUCAGUGGAGACCGCCGGGGUCAACUCGGAGGAAGGUGGGGAUGACGUCAAGUCAUCAUGCCCCUUAUGUCCAGGGCUUCACGCAUGCUACAAUGGCUGGUACAGAGAGUGGCGAGCCUGUGAGGGUGAGCGAAUCUCGGAAAGCCGGUCUCAGUUCGGAUUGGGGUCUGCAACUCGACCUCAUGAAGUCGGAGUCGCUAGUAAUCGCAGAUCAGCAACGCUGCGGUGAAUACGUUCCCGGGGCU
rnacentral:rRNA from 1 species